UGGUGUCUGUGUGGAAAAAUCUUACGGCGUUCCAGUUUCAAUUGCCACCUACACUGCUAUGUUGUGGAGGAAGAGCCUGACUGGGAAGUUAUGUUGCCUGGCGAAGAACUAGCUGUCCAUGGUGUAGAUGCUUAUUGCAAUUCAGAUGGAAGAAUGACUAUUGCUGUUCGACACUGUAUAUAAAGGUUGUUGAAAUUAUUAGUGGUAUGAUCAUAUUUUGAAUGUGCAUAAAUGAAUAUUUUUCAUGCUUUGAUCUUCUGUCUUUUGCAGAGAAUCUAAUCGAUGGCGAGACUCUCCUCUCCUUGAGUGAGAGGAUGAUAGACAAAUUACUCCCCCUCAUUAAAACUCAAGUUCAGUUUACUAAGUUACUUGAUAAAUUAAAAGGGAAAUCACAUACAGUCACUGUAAGGUCAGUAGGUCUUGCCCAUGAAUGAGAAGUUAUUUCACAUAAAAAAGAUUGGACAUUUGAUUAUGAGAUUCAUAGGCCCGUUAAACUAACCAUGAAUUAUGUUUCAGCUCUCCACAGGAAAGACCACAUUUUGAAUUGAACUUAAAUAAUAGUGUAUAUAGUUUUCAACUUCCUGCUUUUCCGCCUCUCCUGAGGAAAGAACUCUCAGAGGAGAGUCCAGACUUCCAUACUCCAGCAUACAGAUCAAAAUGGAGGUCGCAAAUUAUACAAGUCCUCUUUGACUCAAUUUGUUUGUAUACAUGGUACCCAAGUAGUAAACAAUAUAAUGGCAUUUGUGGUUCUCUUGUGACAAAGUACCCUUUUCUACGUGAUCGAACAGGACAAGGUUAUGACAGUUGGUUGGGAAUGCUUAAAAACAAGUUUAAAAAAGAGCGAAUCCCACUGACCAAUCCCGACAUUGAAUACUACAGAGCAAAACAUGGGGGGGAAAAGUUUAAAACAAUACAGGCAAGUCAGGCUCUUACAAGCCAAGUGGCAGACCAGACGCCUGCUUUCCAGGAUGUGAUUGAAGACGUAGUACCAAAUGCAGUUUUUCAACAUGACAAGGUAAUAACAAUAACUUGUAAUCAAAACAGUUGUGUGUGUUUGUGCAUGUGUAUGUUAUCCAUAUAUUUAAUAGAUACCUUUAAGU